rnacentral:rRNA from 1 species
GACGAACGCUGGCGGCGUGCUUAACACAUGCAAGUCGAGCGGUAAGGCCCUUUCGGGGGUACACGAGCGGCGAACGGGUGAGUAACACGUGGGUGACCUGCCCUCAGCUCUGGGAUAAGCCUGGGAAACCGGGUCUAAUACUGGAUAUGACUCCAUGACGCUAUGUUGUGGGGUGGAAAGCCUUGUGCGGCUGAGGAUGGGCCCGCGGCCUAUCAGCUUGUUGGUGGGGUGAUGGCCUACCAAGGCGACGACGGGUAGCCGGCCUGAGAGGGCGACCGGCCACACUGGGACUGAGACACGGCCCAGACUCCUACGGGAGGCAGCAGUGGGGAAUCUUGCGCAAUGGGCGAAAGCCUGACGCAGCGGCGCCGCGUGAGGGAUG